rnacentral:rRNA from 1 species
GGAUCUCUUGGCUCUCGCAUCGAUGAAGAACGCAGCGAAAUGCGAUAAGUAAUGUGAAUUGCAGAAUUCAGUGAAUCAUCGAAUCUUUGAACGCACCUUGCGCCCCUUGGUAUUCCGAGGGGCAUGCCUGUUUGAGUGUCAUUUAAUUCUCAGCCCUUAUUAGCUUUUGCUUCUAAUGGUCCUGGAUGUGGGGGUCCUUUGCUGGUUUCGCAAGAAAUCUGCUCCCCUUAAAUGUAUUAGCUGGUGCCCUUUGUGGACUUGUCUAUUGGUGUGAUAAUUAUCUACGCCAUUGGAUGUCUACUUUAA